rnacentral:rRNA from 1 species
UAGGGAAUUUUGGGCAAUGGGCGAAAGCCUGACCCAGCAACGCCGCGUGUGGGAUGAAGGCCCUCGGGUCGUAAACCACUGUCAGGAGGGAAGAACAGCAUCAGGGGGAAUAUUCCUGGUGUCCGACGGUACCUCCAAAGGAAGCACCGGCUAACUCCGUGCCAGCAGCCGCGGUAAUACGGAGGGUGCAAGCGUUGUUCGGAAUCACUGGGCGUAAAGCGCGUGCAGGUGGUUCUGUAAGUCGGAUGUGAAAUCCCCAGGCUCAACUUGGGAACUGCAUCCGAAACUGCAGAACUAGAGUCCCGGAGAGGAAGGCAGAAUUCCCAAUGUAGGGGUGAAAUCCGUAGAUAUUGGGAGGAAUACCAGUUGCGAAGGCGGCCUUCUGGACGGUGACUGACACUCAGACGCGAAAGCGUGGGGAGCAAACAGGAUUAGAUACCCCCGUAGUCC